GGUUUUACUUUUGUUGCUGCUUCCCUUUCACAAACCGCACUUCUUCUCUUCUUCUCCAUCUCCUUCUUCACUUAUCUGCUCUGCUCACUCUUCCCUUUGCUCGACCUCGCAAUUCUCUAAACUCCACCGGCGAAGACCUCGACGAGAAGAACAACCACUACGCACCUCCUCACCGCCAAAUAUAAUCUACAUCCCCUUGAGUUUGUCUCCUCUGCCAAGCAUGAAGUUGCUCAUGAAGGUGAGACAGGAAAGGUUUCCCGAGCAAACUUUCGUGAUCGCGAAGGAAGAACUGUCCUUAUUAUGAGGCCUGGGAAGCAGAACACCACAUAUGGAGAAGGUAAUGUCCGUCACUUAGUCUAUUUGUUAGAGAAUGCCAUCCUCAACCUGCCCGAGGGCCAAGAACAGAUGGUGUAGCUGAUAGAUUAUACAGGCUUUUCAAUGAGCACUUGUUUAUCAGUCAGAACAUCCCGAGAUAUUAUCAAUAUUUUGCAGAAAAGACUUGGACUAGCAGUUCUUUACAGCCCACCGAGGAUCUUUCAGGCAUUUUGGAGGGAGAGCAGCGAAUGCAGCACACAAACAUAGUUGAAAGCUUCAACAAGUGAUUAUCAGGAAAACAACAGUACGGAUUAUUACAGCUUUUAAGUACUUCAUAAGCUCCAAGUCUUCUUCGUUUACAGCUUCUUCUGCUAAGAUGUGCAAUGAGAUUGGUCACAACAUUAUGUGUCCUACAAUUUGGGAGCUGGAACCAGAACGAUACUCGAUUUGUCAAAAUCUUAGUUGGCUAGUUGGUGGACUUGCAUAUGGUUAGAUAAAGAUCAAGCACUUCUUAAGAGCUUGCUAUUUAUACUUGGUAUGCAUUCCAACUGAUCAGGAUAAUGUUUUAUUUGUUUUUCGUUCUAUACAUUAUUGAGUUGCAUAACUUAAAUGUGUGAAACUGUAUUGUAAUUUUGUCAGAGAAUUAAUAUAUGUUGUGAAAGGUUGGCAUACUAUGGAAUGAGUACCAAUCUUGUGAACAACUAAUUGACUUCAAUUUUAUUUUACAAAAAAGCUUAUAUGCUCCAUGUUUGUGUAUGUUAUGAUUCUCUCAAUAUAUAUUAUUUGAAUGUUUUGUUGGCCUGUAAGUCUUAAACUAGAACUUUGAUAGGGGGGGAUAAU